rnacentral:rRNA from 1 species
UACGUAGGGGGCAAGCGUUGUCCGGAUUUAUUGGGCGUAAAGAGCGUGUAGGCGGCCAGGUAGGUCUGCUGUGAAAACUCGAGGCUCAACCUCGAGACGUCGGCGGAAACCAUCUGGCUAGAGUCCGGAAGAGGAGAGUGGAAUUCCUGGUGUAGCGGUGAAAUGCGCAGAUAUCAGGAAGAACACCCGUGGCGAAGGCGGCUCUCUGGGACGGUACUGACGCUGAGACGCGAAACGUGGGGAGCAAACAGG